rnacentral:pre_miRNA from 1 species
UGGACAGAUUAUUAUAUUCGACUGUAUUCACUGCGUGAAACAGGGGGUUACACUGUUUUUAAACGGAAAGUGAAUCAAUUAACAUAAUAGACUCCU